GGGGGGUCCGUACUUUACGUGCUACUUGAGCGGUACAGGAAGCAGCUUGCUGCUUCGCUGACGAGUGGCGGACGGGUGAGUAAUGUCUGGGAAACUGCCUGAUGGAGGGGGAUAACUACUGGAAACGGUAGCUAAUACCGCAUAACGUCGCAAGACCAAAGAGGGGGACCUUCGGGCCUCUUGCCAUCGGAUGUGCCCAGAUGGGAUUAGCUAGUAGGUGGGGUAACGGCUCACCUAGGCGACGAUCCCUAGCUGGUCUGAGAGGAUGACCAGCCACACUGGAACUGAGACACGGUCCAGACUCCUACGGGAGGCAGCAGUGGGGAAUAUUGCACAAUGGGCGCAAGCCUGAUGCAGCCAUGCCGCGUGUAUGAAGAAGGCCUUCGGGUUGUAAAGUACUUUCAGCGGGGAGGAAGGUGUUGAGGUUAAUAACCUCAGCAAUUGACGUUACCCGCAGAAGAAGCACCGGCUAACUCCGUGCCAGCAGCCGCGGUAAUACGGAGGGUGCAAGCGUUAAUCGGAAUUACUGGGCGUAAAGCGCACGCAGGCGGUCUGUCAAGUCGGAUGUGAAAUCCCCGGGCUCAACCUGGGAACUGCAUUCGAAACUGGCAGGCUAGAGUCUUGUAGAGGGGGGUAGAAUUCCAGGUGUAGCGGUGAAAUGCGUAGAGAUCUGGAGGAAUACCGGUGGCGAAGGCGGCCCCCUGGACAAAGACUGACGCUCAGUGCGAAAGCGUGGGAGCAAACAGGAUUAGAUACCCUGGUAGUCCACGCCGUAAACGAUGUCGACUUGGAGGUUGUGCCCUUGAGGCGUGGCUUCCGGAGCUACGCGUUAAGUCGACCGCCUGGGGAGUACGGCCGCAAAGAUAAAACUCAAUGAUUGACGGGCGGCCCCGCACCAGCGGUGAGCAUGUGAUUAAUCCGAUGCACGCGAGUAUCUACUAGCCUGCAUCAGAUACCUUACAAAAUGCCUUGCGC
rnacentral:rRNA from 1 species